rnacentral:lncRNA from 1 species
UGCUUAAUUAUCUAGAAACAUGAAUGUAAUUUCUAAUGCUUUUGUAUUUACUUAGCAUAUAUCUUUCCACAGAAAUCUGUAUAAUAUCAGCCACAACCAAUAGCAGCCACAACCAGUGAUCACGGGCUCACGAUCCUUCUAGAGAAGAAAAGGUGGAAUUUGGGCAGUAUCACUACGGACUUCUGGGAAUUACAGGAAGAUUGCCUCACCCUGCAUGUGAGAGCAGUUAGAUACUUCAACGCUAAAAGUAGGGAAGCUGCCUUGAAGAGAAAGUGGGUCAACUCAAGGCUAAGUUGUAAGAUGACAUGA